UCACCGGAGGAUCUUGUUAAGUGUGGUCUCCAAUACAGUUAAUGUGGGGGUGGGGCCUGAGAUUCUGCAAUUCUAACAAGCUCUCUGGUGAUGCC
rnacentral:pre_miRNA from 1 species